rnacentral:tRNA from 1 species
GCUUGGCCCAAUUGGAUAAGGCACCCGACUACGGAUCGGGAGAUUCUGGGUUCAAGUCCCA